rnacentral:rRNA from 1 species
UUUUAUGAGAGUUUGAUCCUGGCUCAGGACGAACGCUGGCGGCGUGCCUAAUACAUGCAAGUCGAACGCUUCUUUUUCCACCGGAGCUUGCUCCACCGGAAAAAGAGGAGUGGCGAACGGGUGAGUAACACGUGGGUAACCUGCCCAUCAGAAGGGGAUAACACUUGGAAACAGGUGCUAAUACCGUAUAACAAUCAAAACCGCAUGGUUUUGAUUUGAAAGGCGCUUUCGGGUGUCGCUGAUGGAUGGACCCGCGGUGCAUUAGCUAGUUGGUGAGGUAACGGCUCACCAAGGCCACGAUGCAUAGCCGACCUGAGAGGGUGAUCGGCCACAUUGGGACUGAGACACGGCCCAAACUCCUACGGGAGGCAGCAGUAGGGAAUCUUCGGCAAUGGACGAAAGUCUGACCGAGCAACGCCGCGUGAGUGAAGAAGGUUUUCGGAUCGUAAAACUCUGUUGUUAGAGAAGAACAAGGAUGAGAGUAACUGUUCAUCCCUUGACGGUAUCUAACCAGAAAGCCACGGCUAACUACGUGCCAGCAGCCGCGGUAAUACGUAGGUGGCAAGCGUUGUCCGGAUUUAUUGGGCGUAAAGCGAGCGCAGGCGGUUUCUUAAGUCUGAUGUGAAAGCCCCCGGCUCAACCGGGGAGGGUCAUUGGAAACUGGGAGACUUGAGUGCAGAAGAGGAGAGUGGAAUUCCAUGUGUAGCGGUGAAAUGCGUAGAUAUAUGGAGGAACACCAGUGGCGAAGGCGGCUCUCUGGUCUGUAACUGACGCUGAGGCUCGAAAGCGUGGGGAGCAAACAGGAUUAGAUACCCUGGUAGUCCACGCCGUAAACGAUGAGUGCUAAGUGUUGGAGGGUUUCCGCCCUUCAGUGCUGCAGCUAACGCAUUAAGCACUCCGCCUGGGGAGUACGACCGCAAGGUUGAAACUCAAAGGAAUUGACGGGGGCCCGCACAAGCGGUGGAGCAUGUGGUUUAAUUCGAAGCAACGCGAAGAACCUUACCAGGUCUUGACAUCCUUUGACCACUCUAGAGAUAGAGCUUCCCCUUCGGGGGCAAAGUGACAGGUGGUGCAUGGUUGUCGUCAGCUCGUGUCGUGAGAUGUUGGGUUAAGUCCCGCAACGAGCGCAAC